ACAGGAUUAGAUACCCUGGUAGUCCACGCCGUAAACGAUGAGUGCUAAGUGUUAGGGGGUUUCCGCCCCUUAGUGCUGCAGCUAACGCAUUAAGCACUCCGCCUGGGGAGUACGGUCGCAAGACUGAAACUCAAAGGAAUUGACGGGGGCCCGCACAAGCGGUGGAGCAUGUGGUUUAAUUCGAAGCAACGCGAAGAACCUUACCAGGUCUUGACAUCCUCUGACAAUCCUAGAGAUAGGACGUCCCCUUCGGGGGCAGAGUGACAGGUGGUGCAUGGUUGUCGUCAGCUCGUGUCGUGAGAUGUUGGGUUAAGUCCCGCAACGAGCGCAACCCUUGAUCUUAGUUGCCAGCAUUCAGUUGGGCACUCUAAGGUGACUGCCGGUGACAAACCGGAGGAAGGUGGGGAUGACGUCAAAUCAUCAUGCCCCUUAUGACCUGGGCUACACACGUGCUACAAUGGACAGAACAAAGGGCAGCGAAACCGCGAGGUUAAGCCAAUCCCACAAAUCUGUUCUCAGUUCGGAUCGCAGUCUGCAACUCGACUGCGUGAAGCUGGAAU
rnacentral:rRNA from 1 species